CCGAGAGCUCAGGCAGCAGAGUUCUCUCUGUCUGCAGGAGCUCUCGCCACACGGAGCCGACGUCCACACCGGAUUAGAGAUUACACUUCCCCACUAGGAUCUCCAAGAUGUGUUUUGGUGCAACGAGCCACUAGAUUGAGUCACAUCUGACAUCAGGGUCCGAGUAAGCUCCGCUCAUCCAAAUCACCCUGUGCGGGUAGGGGGGCUGUGCUGUGGAGGUGGCGUGUUUUUGCGUCUGCUUAUUUGCAGGGACAUCACCAUGGCGCCCGCGUCUCGUCCACAGAUGGUAAUCUCCUUGGUACGCUGUGGGAAAUAGGCCGUGACCUCUUCUACUGACUCACAAGACAUCCUGAUAUCACACGGCCGAAUGUAUGUGGACACUGAAACAUGACACACGGAUGCAAUUGUUGGACAUUGUAUCCCUAAACUACUGGAGUAAAUACACAACCGUACCUCUUCUUGAAAAGCUUUUUUCACUAGAUGAGACUUGGAACCCGGCUGCAGGAGCAACAGUGAGGUGGGUUACUGAUUUUGGGAGACACGUCCUCACAGCCGAUGGGCAACCCAGAGGUGCUGGAAGGAGUGCAGGUCUGAGCUCGGCACGGGUCAGUCCGGGUUUCUUACCCCAACGCGGGCU
ensembl:lncRNA